GAUGAACGCUGGCGGCGUGCCUAAUACAUGCAAGUCGAGCGAACAGACGAGGAGCUUGCUCCUCUGAUGUUAGCGGCGGACGGGUGAGUAACACGUGGAUAACCUACCUAUAGACUGGGAUAACUUCGGGAAACCGGAGCUAAUACCGGAUAACAUGUUGAACCGCAUGGUUCAACAGUGAAAGACGGUUUUGCUGUCACUUAUAGAUGGAUCCGCGCCGCAUUAGCUAGUUGGUAAGGUAACGGCUUACCAAGGCAACGAUGCGUAGCCGACCUGAGAGGGUGAUCGGCCACACUGGAACUGAGACACGGUCCAGACUCCUACGGGAGGCAGCAGUAGGGAAUCUUCCGCAAUGGGCGAAAGCCUGACGGAGCAACGCCGCGUGAGUGAAGAAGGUCUUCGGAUCGUAAAACUCUGUUAUUAGGGAAGAACAAAUGUGUAAGUAACUAUGCACGUCUUGACGGUACCUAAUCAGAAAGCCACGGCUAACUACGUG
rnacentral:rRNA from 1 species